CCCUUAGAUGUUCUGGGCCGCACGCGCGCUACACUGAUGCAUUCAACGAGUCUAAAACCUGGUCUGAUAGGGCUGGGUAAUCUUUUGAAAGUGCAUCGUGAUUGGGAUAGAUGAUUGCAAUUCUUCAUCUUCAACGAGGAAUGCCUAGUAAACGCAAGUCAUCAGCUUGCAUUGAUUACGUCCCUGCCCUUUGUACACACCGCCCGUCGCUCCUACCGAUUGAAUGGUCCGGUGAGGACUCGGGAUUUUUACCAGUUUCCUUCAUUGGGAAUUGGUGAGGAGAACUUGUCCAAACCUUAUCAUUUAGAGGAAGGUGAGGUCGUAACA
rnacentral:rRNA from 1 species